AAAAAAGGCCGCUUGAGAGGAGAAAAAAGAGAAAAGUCGGCCGGCUGCUGAGGGGUAUAUUGGUGGACUGCAAGAGCUGAUUUUUAUAUAUAAUAUCCACAGAAAAGCCUUUUGGGAUUAUAUACAUACAGAAAAGUUGGCAGAUUGGAGGGAGGAAUUGGGCGGCUAAUUGGGGAGACACCUACACGGCAAAAGAUAGAAAACGGCGGCGGAAUUGGGCUGAAAUUUGGAUACGUAUAUUAAUCACGUUUCGUUGAUUUUUGGUGAUGUAUUUUAUCCUUUCUUUGUUUAAUUCCAACAUUAUGCUCGAUUAAAUUAUUUUGUGCUAGGAUUUACGAUGAAUCUUUAAUCUUGAAUUUUAUUUAUUUUGACGUUAAAACAUGUUUUUAAUUAUUGAAUGAUUGGAAUGGAUUUUAUUUUCUCUACA
rnacentral:lncRNA from 1 species